rnacentral:rRNA from 1 species
UGGGGAAUCUUCCGCAAUGGACGAAAGUCUGACGGAGCAACGCCGCGUGAGUGAUGAAGGAUUUCGGUCUGUAAAGCUCUGUUGUUUAUGACGAACGUGCAGUGUGUGAACAAUGCAUUGCAAUGACGGUAGUAAACGAGGAAGCCACGGCUAACUACGUGCCAGCAGCCGCGGUAAUACGUAGGUGGCGAGCGUUGUCCGGAAUUAUUGGGCGUAAAGAGCAUGUAGGCGGCUUAAUAAGUCGAGCGUGAAAAUGCGGGGCUCAACCCCGUAUGGCGCUGGAAACUGUUAGGCUUGAGUGCAGGAGAGGAAAGGGGAAUUCCCAGUGUAGCGGUGAAAUGCGUAGAUAUUGGGAGGAACACCAGUGGCGAAGGCGCCUUACUGGACUGUGUCUGACGCUGAGAUGCGAAAGCGAGGGUAGCGAACGGG